GAAUCUUCAUUAUAUGGUACGGCGCCGGCCGAACGGAUAACUCUGAUGACGUUAAUCACGGG
rnacentral:tRNA from 1 species